rnacentral:rRNA from 1 species
CCUACGGGCGGCAGCAGUGGGGGAUAUUGCGCAAUGGGGGAAACCCUGACGCAGCAACGCCGCGUGAAGGAAGAAGGCCUUCGGGUCGUAAACUUUUGUCUUCUGGGACGAAACAUGACGGUACCAGAGGAGGAAGCCACGGCUAACUACGUGCCAGCAGCCGCGGUAAGACGUAGGGGGCGAGCGUUGUCCGGAAUUACUGGGCGUAAAGAGCACGUAGGCGGGUGUUUAAGUCAGGUGCGAAAGACCGCAGCCUAACUGCGGGGUUGCACUUGAAACUGAAUAUCUUGAGGGCAGGAGAGGUCAGUGGAAUUCCUGGUGUAGCGGUGAAAUGCGUAGAAAUCAGGAGGAACACCAGUGGCGAAGGCGACUGACUGGACUGACCCUGACGCUGAGGUGCGAAAGCGUGGGUAGCAAACAGGAUUAGAUACCCGUGUAG